rnacentral:rRNA from 1 species
AACGAACGCUGGCGGCAUGCCUAACACAUGCAAGUCGAACGAGACCUUCGGGUCUAGUGGCGCACGGGUGCGUAACGCGUGGGAAUCUGCCCUUGGGUUCGGAAUAACAGCUGGAAACGACUGCUAAUACCGGAUGAUGACGUAAGUCCAAAGAUUUAUCGCCCAGGGAUGAGCCCGCGUAGGAUUAGCUAGUUGGUGGGGUAAAGGCCUACCAAGGCGACGAUCCUUAGCUGGUCUGAGAGGAUGAUCAGCCACACUGGGACUGAGACACGGCCCAGACUCCUACGGGAGGCAGCAGUGGGGAAUAUUGGACAAUGGGCGAAAGCCUGAUCCAGCAAUGCCGCGUGAGUGAUGAAGGCCUUAGGGUUGUAAAGCUCUUUUACCCGGGAUGAUAAUGACAGUACCGGGAGAAUAAGCCCCGGCUAACUCCGUG